rnacentral:misc_RNA from 1 species
AAAGUCGUAACAAGGUUUCCGUAGGUGAACCUGCGGAAGGAUCAUUAAUGAAUAUAAGGGUACUCUCUCUCAUCAGAGAGGCCCGACCUUCAUUCUUCUACACUGUGAACUAUAAUCCUUCUCAAUUGUUACUGGCCUGUGAAUUCAGGACAGUUCUAAUUGAGAAUCAUUUUUAAACUCUAUCAAGUCUAUGAAUGUAAACCUAUAAAAACAAAAGAAAAACUUUCAACAACGGAUCUCUUGGCUCUC